rnacentral:tRNA from 1 species
GCCCGCCUAGCUCAAUCGGAUAGAGCGUGAGACUUUUACGGUCUAAGCAAAGGCUGGGAUAUCUCAAGGCUGCGAGUUCGAGCCUCGCGGUGGGCU